GACGAACGCUGGCGGCGUGCCUAAUACAUGCAAGUUGAACGCUGAAGGAGGAGCUUGCUUCUCUGGAUGAGUUGCGAACGGGUGAGUAACGCGUAGGUAACCUGCCUGGUAGCGGGGGAUAACUAUUGGAAACGAUAGCUAAUACCGCAUAAUAGUAGAUGUUGCAUGACAUUUGCUUAAAAGGUGCAAUUGCAUCACUACCAGAUGGACCUGCGUUGUAUUAGCUAGUUGGUGGGGUAACGGCUCACCAAGGCGACGAUACAUAGCCGACCUGAGAGGGUGAUCGGCCACACUGGGACUGAGACACGGCCCAGACUCCUACGGGAAGCAGCAGUAGGGGAUCUUCGGCAAUGGACGGAAGUCUGACCGAGCAACGCCGCGUGGGUGGAGAAGGGUUUCGGAUCGGAAAGCUCUGUUGUAAGGGAAGAACGAGUGUGAGAGUGGAAAGUUCACACUGUGACGGUAUCUUACCAGAAAGGGACGGCUAACUACGUG
rnacentral:rRNA from 1 species